rnacentral:lncRNA from 1 species
AAGAUUCUGCGAAUAACCUAUUAAUCUCGUGAUGUUGUAAUCUUCGUGAACGUGAACGAGAUCUUAAGACUUGUUUGUACUCACUAUGUUAAAAACAUGUUUAAUUCGUUAAAAAAUAAACAAAUCAAAAAAAGAUGAAUAUUUAUCAUAUUCUAGAACUUACUUGCGUAAUUGUUCAAGUGCAUCGUGGUGGAAAAGAACAUAUCUAUGUGCUUGUAUCCAAGAUCGGUC